UACGUAGGGCGCAAGCGUUAUCCGGAAUUAUUGGGCGUAAAGAGCUCGUAGGCGGUCUGUCGCGUCGGUCGUGAAAACUUGGGGCUUAACCCUGAGCUUGCGGUCGAUACGGGCAUGACUGGAGUUCGGCAGGGGAGACUGGAAUUCCUGGUGUAGCGGUGAAAUGCGCAGAUAUCAGGAGGAACACCGGUGGCGAAGGCGGGUCUCUGGGCCGAUACUGACGCUGAGGAGCGAAAGCGUGGGGAGCGAACAGG
rnacentral:rRNA from 1 species